UUGAAAGUUAAAUCCAAAUAACACUGGCGUAUAUCCUUGUGAACAAGUUGUGAUCGCUUGCAGUUGUGAUCGCUCCCAAUCGGUGAUCCGCCUCGUUGAAGAUACUCAGCCAAGUCCCAGUGGACGUAACUGCCUUCUGAGUGGGGGCUGAAAACAGAGAUGAAACCACUGCGGUUUCAAGCCCCAAGCCCAGCGCAGCUAAUGGAUCAGCCUAUUUAAGCAGAGCAGUAAUCGUUUGAGCGGCUGCGUAAACAUUCAACCCAGCGGCGCUCGGCUAUUGCAAGCUGGCGGCACUUUCUUCUCCUCAGUGGAGAGAAGGAAUAGUCAUAUUUCAUUCCUGGACGCACAAAUUCAGAAGUGGAUCCGCUGCAGCGAUGCUAAUUAAAGUUGUGAAGUUUCUUCUAAGCGCCAACCGGUGAAUCGGCGGUCUGCCCAAGCCAAAUAGCCAGUACUGCAAGUGAACUGAUGGAGUCCAAAGCAGAUGCAGCAAUAAGCGAUGCCUAAAAAAAAACGGCGACUUCAGCCCCACACAAGCCCUAUCUCAGCGCCCUUUUUAAGCAGCGGCCAUAAGCAGCGAUUGUCCAAGCCGGAAUUAGCAGCGCCGUUUGUAAUCAGUCAAUCGGCAAGUGCAGCGAAGCGACUGUAUGUAAAGCGGCAUAGAGCAGCUCACCUGCAAGCAAAGCCGCGACAGCAAGCGAAAGCGGCGACUUCAGCCCAUAUUUGAGCGGAGCAGAGUCUGCAAGCGCAAGUGAACUGGCCGGUUUAUCCAAACCAAAGGCUCAGGUCUGGCGCAAGAGAGAAAAAUUAAACUGACAGUGAACCCUAAAUGAUUUUUCCGAAGAAAUUGGAAAAAUAUUUAUUUAUUUUCUUCUUUCCUUCCCCAUUUCUUUCUCUCCUCAAGUGGGCGCACAAUUCUUUUUUUCGAUCGUGCUCCGUCAAGUUUAAACCCAAGCCCCCUACGCCUUCAAUCUCUUCCUUCCCUCCGUCAUCUUCAUCUCCUAGUUUCGAAAAGAAAAUCAUAAUUUCACACCCGAUUCCCUUUCAAUUUCGUCCAGCCCUAACCCUAAUCUUUACGGUAAUUACUUCUCCCUCACCGCGAUGAUGAAGCCGACCACAUCAAUUUCCCCAAUUCUAAUUGUUCUGAAUCCACCAUCAUUCAUCUUGUCUAGGGAUGGUAAACAUCUAGGGAAAGGUUGUAUUAGUCACUCAACCUUCUUUUUUGCUAUUUUCAUUGAAUUUCUUCAACUUUUGGCAUAUUACUAAAAUUAUGAAAAUUUGCAGGGCUGCGUCAGAUUGGAGUACCUCUUUUAAUUAUGAUAAUUAUCCUCUUAUUGAUAUCUAUUAUAGAUUUGUAGUUAUGAUUAGGAUUAAAAUUAUGUUGGAAUGUGGAUUUAGUUUAGAUUGGAAUUAGUUGUCGAGUUUGUAUAUAUAAUUGGUAUUUGAUUGGUGAAUUGCGGACUGUGUCAAGGAGAUUUGAGUAAGAUGAAUUGUGAGCUUAUUUCUUAUGAUGAUUUUAGGAUUAAUCGAUAAUUUAAACAAGGCACAAACAGCCUCCAAAAGCUGAUUGCGGGCUGUUUUAGAUUUAUUCGAUUUGGAGGAUUGGUAAUUGAGGGCAUUUGAUAAAAAAAUCUGCAUACGACAGCUGCUGGUGGUUGCAAAAUUUGAAAUUUUCAGAUUCAUUCUAUGGUGAUUGACGCUGAGGAAAGAGGUGCUUUGAAAAUUUUUAAGCAAGAAGACUUAUGUAACUUUGAAAAGGGAGUUUUAGCUGUCUUUUUAUCUCUUGAAUUCUUUGACAAAUAAUGUUUGUAUCUCAUCUUUCGCUGCUGAAAAUAAUGUUUGGUUUGAUUGCAGCACCUCCCGAGCAAUCAAGUUGUUCAAGGGCGAAUAACAAUUCGAGUGUGAGUAGUUGCGGGAAUUUUGAUCGGCACCACCAAAAAUUUUGAAACAGUUAAGGGUGCAAGACCUGCAAAAUCAGGGAAGCUUAUUUGUCUUAUUGAUAGAAUAUUUUAGCUUGCUAAUUGUUUGACUGCUAACUUGUUAGAUAGUAGAAUAUGUGUUACGUAGAUAAAUUAAUAGCCGUAAUAUAAUUGCAGCAGGUUAAUUUUC